rnacentral:rRNA from 1 species
UGCCUGUACCAUAACCGACACAGGUGGGUAAGUAGAGUAUACUAAGGGGCGCGAGAUAACUCUCUCUAAGGAACUCGGCAAAAUAACUCCGUAACUUCGGGAGAAGGAGUGCCUUAUUCUUAAGGUUGCAAUAACAAGAUCCAAGCAACUGUUUAUCAAAAACACAGGUCUCCGCUAAGUCGUAAGACGAUGUAUGGGGGCUGACGCCUGCCCAGUGCCAGAAGGUUAAAGAAGUCGGUUAGCAAUAGCAAAGCUGGUAACUGAAGCCCUGGUGAACGGCGGCCGUAACGAUAACGGUCCUAAGGUAGCGAAAUUCCUUGUCGGGUAAGUUCCGACCCGCACGAAAGGCGUAAUGAUUUGGAUGCUGUCUCGGAGAGGGGCUCGGUGAAAUAGACUUGUCUGUGAAGAUGCGGACUACCUGCACCAGGACAGAAAGACCCUAUGAAGCUUUACUGUAACUUGAAAUUGAAAUUGGACUUUAUUCGCGCAGUAUAGGUGGGAGGCGUUGAUUAUAAUCUUGUGGGAUUAUUGGAGCCAUCAGUGAGAUACCACUCUUGUAAUGUUAGAUUUCUAACUUUGAAUCAUUAUCUGGUCAAAGGACAGUUUCAGGCGGGCAGUUUGACUGGGGCGGUCGCCUCCUAAACGGUAACGGAGGCGUACAAAGGUUUCCUCUGAACGGUUAGAAAUCGUAUCUAGAGUGUAAAGGCAUAAGGAAGCUUGACUGUGAGACCUACAAGUCGAGCAGGGACGAAAGUCGGUCUUAGUGAUCUGACGGUACUGAGUGGAAAGGCCGUCACUCAACGGAUAAAAGUUACUCUAGGAUAACAGGCUGAUCUCCCCCAAGAGUUCACAUCGACGGGGAGGUUUGGCACCUCGAUGUCGGCUCAUCGCAUCCUGGGGCGGUAGUACGUCCCAAGGGUUGGGCUGUUCGCCCAUGAAAGCGGUACGCGAGCUGGGUUCAGAACGUCGUGAGACAGUUCGGUCCAUAUCCGGUGUAGGCGCUAGAAUAUUGAGAGGAGCCUUCUUUAGUACGAGAGGACCGAGAAGGACAUACCUCUGGUGUACCAGUUAUCGUGCCAACGGUAAACGCUGGGUAGCUAUGUAUGGAGUGGAUUACCGCUGAAAGCAUCUAAGUGGGAAGCCCACCUCAAGAUAAGUAUUCUCAUCACGUAAGUGAGUAAGGUCACGGUAAGACUAACCGUUUGAUAGGCAUUAAGUGUAAGUACAGUAAUGUAUGUGCUGAGAUGUCCUAAUAGACCGAGGAC